rnacentral:rRNA from 1 species
GACUAACGCUGGCGGCGUGCCUAACACAUGCAAGUCGAACGGACGGACCCGAAGUAGCAAUACUUUGGGCGAGUUAGUGGCGAACGGGUGAGUAACGCGUAAGCAAUGUACCCCUUUGUUCGGAAUAACAUCUCGAAAGAGUUGCUAAUACCGGAUAGUCUUCUUUGAAGGCAUCUUUAGAGAAGUAAAGAUUUAUCGCGAAGGGAUCAGCUUGCGUCCUAUUAGCUAGUUGGUGGGGUAAUGGCCUACCAAGGCAACGAUGGGUAACUGGUCUGAGAGGAUGAACAGUCACACUGGAACUGAGAUACGGUCCAGACUCCUACGGGAGGCAGCAGUGAGGAAUUUUGCGCAAUGGAGGAAACUCUGACGCAGCAACGCCGCGUGAGUGAAGACGGCCUUCGGGUUGUAAAGCUCUGUCAGGAGGGACGAGAUAGGACGGUACCUCCAGAGGAAGCCUCGGCUAACUACGUGCCAGCAGCCGCGGUAAUAC